GGAAUCAUUAGAAUUAUUAAAACAACGAAAUUUCAGAUUUCAGUGCAAAAAUUGACCACAUUUUCCAGAAAAAAACAGGUGAAACUAUAAACAUUGAUCUACUGCCAGACAGGUUGCUGUUAUGGUCAAUAAUGAUGAGGAUUCAAUAGAUAAACUGAUGCCAAUUAUUGACAGUGUUCAGUGUCUUAAAAGGUAGCUCUCACCCAAAACAAUACAAUAUUCGACUCCUGUAUCUGAUCAUUAUCCUAAUUAGGUUAAAUUCAUUCUGAUCACAUUUGUACAACAAGGCAUAACAUGUGUUUUGAAGAAAAAAAGCUUUAGACAAUGUACUGAAUCAAAGCAAAACAAGGAUACCUAUUUCAAACAAGAAAUCAGUAACCAGUCAAUGAAUAUAUUGAUUAUGAAGCACCGUCCAGUUGAUUAUGGUUUUGAUGACGAAAGCUGGAAAAGAAGGCUGAAUAGUAACUAUCACAAAGCUAAGAAACACUGUGCUGACAUUUAUUACCGAUUUUUUGUGUUUGUUCUAACCAUGGUGGUUCUAACAUAAAAGAGAGAGAACAGAGCCAAAUUUAAAA